CUUGAUUAGUGGCGCACGGGUGAGUAAUGCAUAGAUAAUGUGCCCCUUAGUUCGGGAUAGCCACUGGAAACGGUGAUUAAUACCGGAUACUCCUUCUUGUUAUAAGACAAGUCGGGAAAGUUUUUCGCUAAGGGAUCAGUCUAUGUUCCAUCAGCUUGUUGGUGAGGUAAUGGCUCACCAAGGCUACGACGGAUAUCUGGUUUGAGAGGAUGAUCAGACACACUGGAACUGAGACACGGUCCAGACUCCUACGGGAGGCAGCAGUGAGGAAUAUUGCACAAUGGAGGAAACUCUGAUGCAGCAACGCCGCGUGGAGGAUGACGCAUUUCGGUGUGUAAACUCCUUUUAUUAGGGAAGAUAAUGACGGUACCUAAUGAAUAAGCACCGGCUAACUCCGUGCCAGCAGCCGCAGUAAUACGGAGGGUGCAAGCGUUACUCGGAAUCACUGGGCGUAAAGGGUGCGUAGGCUGGCUUUUAAGUCAGAUGUGAAAUCCAAUGGCUCAACCAUUGAACUGCAUUUGAAACUGAAAGCCUAGAGUUCAGAAGGGGCAGAUGGAAUUAGUGGUGUAGGGGUAAAAUCCGUAGAUAUCACUAGGAAUAUCAAAAGCGAAGGCGAUCUGCUGGGAUGAUACUGACG
rnacentral:rRNA from 1 species